GACGAACCGGUGCGAACGUUGUUCGGAAUCACUGGGCUUAAAAGGGCGCGUAGGCGGCCGUCCGAGUCCGGGGUGAAAUCUUUCGGCCUAACCGGAAAAGGGCCCUGGAUACUGGACGGCUCGGAGGGGGGUAGGGGCAAGCGGAACUGUGGGUGGAGCGGUGAAAUGCGUUGAUAUCCACGAGGAACUCCGGUGGCGAAGCAGGUCGUCUG
rnacentral:rRNA from 1 species